CACUAAGAAGCUUAUACAGCACCAACCUUUUAAGUUGGAGAGGAAUUCAUUUCCUUAGUGA
rnacentral:tRNA from 4 species